rnacentral:lncRNA from 1 species
GCCGUUGGAAAGUUGGCAGCGAGGCGUCGCGCGCUCUAGGAGCCCAUCAGUGCGCGCGUUUAUCAGUGCGGAUGACCAAUGGGCAGCUCCUCUAGGUGACCGUAUCAUUCAUGGAGUCACCUGGUAAUAAAAAAAAUCAGGCUCCUGUGUUCGUGGUGUCGCUCUGAAACAGAGAAGUUAUCGGUUAUUGUUUAACACCCUUUGCGGAAACGUGUGUGAGCGGAUAACCGUGCACUAAGUGAGCCAUUAAAGCGAUUUGCAGUUAUAGUCAUUAUCACCUCCACCUGAUAGGCGCAUUUCACAGGAAAACAUUCAAAUUAUGAGUUAAUCACUCGCCACUGAGCUGCUCCUUUGGGGAUGUGGAUUGCAGUGAACUCCUAUUACAUUGUGAAAGAUAAGACUCAGAGCUGUUUGAUCAGUCAAACACCAACGUUAAGGCCUGCGUAAAAACGACCCAGAGCCAAGUUUUGACUCUCUAGUAAAGUCUUGUGGAUUUGCUUAGGGAAAUUAGAGGACUUUAUGAGAGUGGACUCUGGAGGGAAGUCCUUUUUGUGCCUUUUAGACUCACUCCAGUGUUAUUGUGUGGGCUUGCCUCUCUGAUGUAGGGAAAAGAAAUUAAUCAGAACUAUAAUGAGCUAAUUUGAUGAGCGAUGACCCUGCUUGACCAAAGGCUGAAGUUAGUGUAACAUAUGCGCACCUCGUGUCAACCUGGAGAGGAGUUUAGGACUAGGGGAGAGUGGGGUAAAAUGAGCCUUUUUUCAUAUUUCCGAUCACUACAUCAAGGCAAUCAUAGUUUUGUCUCUAACUAGUGUAUCUGCAUAUAUUUGUGCAAGAUGUUGUUCAUCCCUGCAAACCAACAGAAUGAGUGUAAACACAACUGUCUUGAUAAUAUAGCAUGCCAAAAAAGUGGUCUUCUAUGGUCAACUUACCCCGAGUAUGGAGUAAGUUGACCAUAGGAGUGGGGUAAGUUGAGCCAUAUACAACCCCCCACUCUCCACCCCAGCCCUUCCUCACCUUCUCUCUCCCUAAAUAACAGUCACUUUUUCAUAUUCAUGUGUAUUUUUAUCUAUUAUACGCUAUUCAACUGAUACAAUAAUAAUUUUUUAUUAUUAUUGCAUAUACUGUAACUGCUAAAAGGCUGUUUUGUAAAAAGACAUUUAACAUGAGAAUGUCUUUAAGUGAUUCAGAGGAGCUCCUCUUUGUUUCCAGCUUCAUGAAAAGCUGCUGCAAAAAGAAAGAAAAUUGUGCAUGUACUUGAAUAAGAAUCUCGAUUAAAAAAAACAUCCAUUAUUGCACUUUGGUUAUUGAAGCAUCAUAGUAAGGUGAAUAUCUCAGUAAGGGAGUCUACUGUAGCUGCACCAUGAGGCACCAGCACACAGAGAACAUUGUGGGGAAUGAAGCUUUGCCUCUAUAGCAACAGUUUAAAUAUAGUUUUCUUUACUUCUAACCUUCUUUCGCAUUUCUCCAACAGGCCCAACUCCAACAUAUCAAAAACAGGACUGGUGAAAAUGUUUCAGUUGUGGGUUAAACUUUAAAAACCCAGAGUAGGAUUAAUGGAAACAUACUGAGGCACAAGUCAUGGAGGGUGUCCAAAUGUUCACUCCCAGUCCUCUGUUAUCUGUCACAUAUCUCUGUAGCAAUUUCUGUUGGAUGUUUAAUAAUAUAAAAGAAUAACACAAAAAUUUAAUUUGAUCAGUUUUAUGUUUUUUAUUUACCACACAGAUGUCACUUUUCUGUAUUUUAUCUAAAGAAAUGCCACACAGACUGGGACUUUUUAAUGUUUGGUGUGCUGUAAGAUCAUGCAGGUGGCACUUUUUUGUGUUUUGUUCACCGGGGGAGCAUCUAGUUGGCAUUUAUGAGCAUCCAUGUUAUCCACUGAAUGACAAUAACCUAAAACUGAACAAUUUAGAUAAAGCAUUGAAUACAGAAGUAUACAUGGCUUUGCAGGAUGAUAUAGACAAAAAAAGCAUUAUUCUUGUGAGUACAUUUUGAUAUGUAUGGAAGUGUAUGAUAGCGGAAGAGCACAAACAAAAAAACCCCACAAAAACAAGAAUAAAACAACACAAAAAUAGUAAACAGACAUACAGAAGACGUGUCAAAAGUAAAUAAACGUGAUGGUGGAUCAGCAUGACACAGACACAGAUCUCAGUUAUAUUUCUCAAUGUCAGCCAAACCAUCUGGAACUUAAUCAGUACCUCUUCAUGAAGUCAUGGUAAUAUCCAUAUUUCUAUUAGUACUGCUCCACCCUGUUUAUCAACCUGAAGGACAGCCUUUCUAGAGCAGCUAGUUGAACCACAGAGAAAGAGCAGGAACAGUGGAGGCCCUCCAAAUUAGUACCAGAAGUUUUCUCUCCUGAACAUAAGAGCAUUGGAUGGAGUGAAAUCCCUCAAGGGGAUUUUUUUUUCAUCUUUUAUCUACUGUAAAAACACCCAGAUGGCACUUUUUGUGUUUUAUUUCCACCCAGAAGGUGCAUUUGUUCAAUUGAAAGUCAAACCAGGCCAGUUUUGUGUUAAUUCUACUGUAGGGGCUUAUAAUUUUACAUUUAAUUCACUGAAAAGGCAGUUAAGGGCACUUUAUAUGUUUUAAUAACUGGAAGGGAAUUCAGAAGGAAAAAUGUUUUAUUUCCUAGCAGGGCAUGCAGAUAGCAUUCAUUUAUGUUCCAUCUACUCACGGCAUUUAACACUCACCCUUACAUUUACUUACUAGAGGAGCACUUUGGGUGAUUUUUGGGAAUGUUCUUUUCACUCUAAGGGCAGCCAAACACCCUGUUUUGUGUUUGAUUCACUGAAGUGGUCUUUAGAGGGCACAUUUUUGCAUUAUAUUUACAGCACAUUUGACAUAUCAAAUACUGGUAAGACAAUCUUUUUCAUGAAAUUGCCAUCGACAUGGUACCUUUUUUUUGUUUGUUUGUGUUUUUCUUAAAGACAAGGGAACCUGGCCCCCUUUGACCUACCUCUAACUACACCCCUGCAUAUAUAAAGUGGAUUAGUUAAAUUGAUAUAUUUCAUCAUUGAUGGCUGAUAAAAACACACAGGACUGUAAAAUCCUUGUGUCAGUAUGAAGUAUGAUUUUAUUUUUUAACUUUCACGUCAUAUUGAGAUAUUCUGCAUUUGGGUGUCAUGAGGAGGAUAAAUGUAAAUCUGUCUGUAAAUGACACUUAACAGAAGUAACCAGACUUUUAAAAGGCAUUUUAUUUUGUUUAAUCUUUUUUUUUCAAUUAUCAUCAUUAAUAAGUGCUGAUUAAUCACAAAACAUCUUUAAAAACUCAACUCAUAUUUGUCUGGUUGUUAGGUGUUUGUUCAGUCAAAAGCAGAUUUUUGAUGAUACACUUCCUCCUCAUUUUUUAAAUAACCCGGUUUUUGGAAACUUUUUCUGUUUCCAGAUUGAUAAUAAAAUAUAUCAAGAACAAAAAAAAAACAUGAUUGGAUGGCCGUUUAGUCUGAGCAAGAGCGACCUUUUAAAGGAGGCAUCUCUAACCACAAGCCUGCUAUCAGUCUCAUCACUGACACAGUUUCAAGUGUCUUUUUUUUUUCUUUUUGUUUUUCGCCAGUCACCAGAUGAUUGAAUAUAACGAACUGAUUCUCCAGAAAUACUAUUAUCUCCCCUCUCAUGUCAUCUGAUCGCUGUGUUGCUCGAACGGGGCAGCGUGUAAACCAAUCAGAAACGGCCGCUGGCCACCUGCAGGAAGUUGGCCGUCCACUUAUCUCCUCCCUCCUCUG